GCUGAGUAAAGAAGCUUUAAAAAUUGCCUAAGUAGCUUGUAUUGAAUCUGUUAUGAUCUUACUUGUGCUUAGAGAGUUUGCUUGCAAAGAUUAGAACUUGAAAAUGUCUAGUUUAAUCUGUUGCAUUGCUUAAAGACAUUGGUGUUCAAACUUGAUGAUGCAUCAAGGGUUGACCCAAUGCACUUGUGUCUUAUCUUUGCUGGAGUUUGAGUGAUGUUUCAGGUUCACAAGAGGUGUUCUUGGUUCACCAUCCAUCCGAGUUGAAAGAGGAAGACUUUGCCCAUUGUGUGGAGCAAUGGAGAGUUAAGAAAGAAGUGGUGAUGCGCCACUGGUGUGUAGUGUCACUGAAGCUCACUUGCAAGCUUGGACCUAUACUCAAUCCAAGCUUGAGGAGGGGAGUUUAGUGAGCUAUCAGUCGGACCAAGAAGGUUCAGAAGGUCCAUUGCAAGCAACUGAAGAAGAAGGAGCCAUCCGGGUCUAGGCAGUGGCGUGUCUAGGCAAGAGAGUGUUCAGAGCACUCUUGGCUGUGAGAAGAUGAAGACUCUAUCAGUGCAGCUUCUAGUGUGAGGUGGCUGAAGAGGUAGCUGAAGUUUCCACAAGCACUCCAUGAAGAUGGCGAGUUCAGAAGGUGUUGCAAUGGUGUGAUUGGGCGGAUCAAGAAGCUAUCCUUCCAAGCUUGACUUGUUCCACAUGGCCAAGCUUGAGGGGGAGUGUUGAGAAAGCUUCUAUGAUCCUAGAGUCUUUGGUGGUUAUUCAAGAAGAGGAGCAGAUCAGUUAUGAAGCAUAAUGAAGGAUGAAGAAGCAAUCACCAAUGCGGCCUCUAGAGUGAGGUGAUUGGUACUACAGUCUGAAGCAUCCUGUCAUGAAGGUUUCAGUAACAUGGUGGUGACUCAUGAAGAAGAAGCAGCCAAGACUCAGCUUGUAUCUAUCAAGGAAGAUCUGGUAGUCCGAGCACUUGAUCACAACAAGAAGGUUGUGAGAAAGGGGGAGAGACCAAGAUCUGUCUAAAGAAGAGUACAAGAAGUGUUGAUGAUGAGCAAGAGGAGUGGGUUCUAUCUUGCAUCACAUGAGGGCCAUGAUCCAGAGUCUUUGUGUCCCUUACAUUGUUGGUAAGGCACAAAGACUCACUGGCCAAUCCCUAGGCCUUGGAGACUUUACUCUUUUUCCCUCAUCAAGGUUUUGUCCCAAAGGGUUUUCCUUGGUGAGGUUUUUAAUGAGGAAGCUCUUCAAGGUUCCAAGCUUGACUUAGGAUCUACUAAAGUCAAGCUUGAGGGGGAGUUUUGAACUGAAGAGAAGAAUGGAGCUUGUGCAUAAAUAGGGCAAGCUUCAGGUGAUCUCCGGAAGAGUUCUACAAAGCUUCAGGAGAGUCUUGAAGUAUCUAUCAUGGGUGAAGUUAAGUCCAAGAAGGGCUUAGACUGAUCUUAAGAAGACAUGGAAGGAGUUUGGAGGUGAAUGGUUGAGUGUGCAAACUUAGGGCGAGGCCGUACGGAUUUGGUACGGACGUGUACGGACAGUACGGAUCCGUACGGACCUUUCCGACCCAAAAGUUCAUGACUCGACCAUUUGAGCACAUUUGAAGUUGGUGCAAAAAUAGGGCAUAGGUCAGCUCUUAAGAGAAGAAGACAAAACUCUUAAGAGAAGAAGACAAAGGAGAGGCUGGCACUUGUGACUGUUUGUGGAUAAGGGAGUGGUGCCUGAACGUGAGUGGCUGUUAUGAGUCCAAGGACAGGCUGUAAAGAUCUGUAAAGGAAGAGCAAGGCUUGACCAUGUAUCUGGCCAAAGAAGAGGGCGGAUACAUGAGGCUGUGUAGAGCAUUCCUAGCCAAGCCUUCCCACAUCCAAUCAGGCGACACCAACAAGCUGCAAAGACCACAAGACUGAAUCAAGGUCGUCCAAUUCAAAUCAGAACAUCUCCACCCUUCAUGUCUUAUCUAUCUUAGGGUUUAUGAGUUUGCAAAGUGUAAAGAGUAUAUAUAAACUCUUAGGUGACGUUUUGUAAGCUCUUAAGAGAGUAUGGGGGUUUUCCCCAUCUCCUUCAUAAUUAUAAAAGUGUGUUCUUGAUCAGAUUCCCUUAAUCUACCCCUUUCUUAGUCCCUAAUCUCUUAAUCUCUCAAAGUCUCUUUGUUUCUUAUUCAAGUUCAUACUAGUUUCAUCAGACCUCUUAUUCAACUAGUUCAAGACCUAAAGUCUCUUUGUUUCUGAUUCAAGUUCAUACUAGUUUCAUCAGACCUCUUAUUCAACUAGUUCAAGACCUUAUCUUUGCUUUUAAUGGCUUUUCAUACACAUACACAGCCAGAGCUCUCAAAUCUCACAUGGUAUCAGAGCCAGGUUCAUCAGAACCUGGUUGAAGCUUCCGCACAUCCCACACACAUCCCUCAGCUCAAAUCCAAGCCAUGAAGAAGACAGCUCCAUCCGGUUCAGCUUCUCCAUGAAGACUGAAGCUUGGCGUGUCAUUCUGGUUCCUCAACCCUUUCUCAUACCUGCCUUGAUGAAGAGCCACGUUGGAAGCAAAGGAGGAUGGAGAGGCGUCAUGAACCUCAAGCCAAAACUCCUAGUCCAUGAGCUGCUAGCAUCCGGCUACAAGAAGAGAAGAUGUCAUGAAGAUGGCGACUUGAAGUAUGAAGAAAGGAGGGGUGUUUGAGCUGUAGAAACAAGAAGGUGGCCAUGAGUAGAAGGAGGAGAGGCUGGGUGACGAUCCAUGCUCUCAUGUCCAACAAAACCGUGAGCCAUAAGCCAUUGGAGGUUCAAGGAACCAAACCGGUUCCUUGGCUGUAAGCUAUUACUAUCCCUUCUUGAUAAUGUGUGUGUUGUUGACUGGUUAUUGUGAUGUGUAUUGAUUGAAAAACCUGAGGAUAAUGUGUGAUUGCUAAAUAUAAUUAGUUGAAUCUGUCCCAGGAUGCUUUAAAGGCUUGUUUAGUGUUUAAAGAGUAAAAUGCUUGCUCCUGUUAAGUAAUGAGUUUGCUAAAUGUGAAAUGGUAUUGUUUGAAGCUCAUGAACUGAAAACAGAUUGAAAGUAAUGCAUUGUCUGAUGAUAAGUGAUGAUAGUAAUGCUUAGCCUAAGUUAUAAAUGAAUGUGUGAUGGAUUAUAUUGUUGCAUUCAUGAAUUAAAACUGAUUAAGGUUAGUGCAUACUGUCAAAUGGCUGUCUUACAUUGAAGCAUUAGAUUCAUGUCUAAAUGCUGAGUAAAGAAGCUUUAAAAAUUGCCUAAGUAGCUUGUAUUGAAUCUGUUAUGAUCUUACUUGUGCUUAGAGAGUUUGCUUGCAAAGAUUAGAACUUGAAAAUGUCUAGUUUAAUCUGUUGCAUUGCUUAAAGACAUUGGUGUUCAAACUUGAUGAUGCAUCAAGGGUUGACCCAAUGCACUUGUGUCUUAUCUUUGCUGGAGUUUGAGUGAUGUUUCAGGUACACUAGAUGUGUUCUUAGUUCAUCAUCAAUCCGAUUUGAAAGUAGGAGACGUUUGCCCAUUGUGUGUGCAAUGGAGAGUUGAUACAAGAGUGGUGAUGCGCCACUAGGUGUGUAGUCUCACUGAAGCUCACUUGCAAGCUUGGACCUAUACUCAAUCCAAGCUUGAGGAGGGGAGUUUAGUGAGCUAUCAGUCGGACCAAGAAGGUUCAGAAGGUCCAUUGCAAGCAACUGAAGAAGAAGGAGCC
rnacentral:lncRNA from 1 species